GUACUUACCUGUCAGGGGAGAUACCAUGAUCCCGAAGGUGGUUUUCUUAGGGUGAGGCUGAUUCAUUGCAGUUGUGAUCUGCUGACCCCUGCAAUUUCCCCCAUGAGAGGGAAACUUGAUUGCAUAAUUUGUGUUGGUUGGGGGUUUCCAUGUGCGCUUCCCCCCA
ensembl:snRNA U1 U1 spliceosomal RNA